rnacentral:rRNA from 1 species
AUACGUAGGGAGCAAGCGUUGUCCGGAAUUACUGGGCGUAAAGGGCGCGUAGGUGGACAUUUAAGUCAGAUGUGAAAACUCUGGGCUCGACUUGGAGAUUGCAUUUGAAACUGGACGUCUUGAGGGUAGGAGAGGAAAGUGGAAUUCCUAGUGUAGCGGUGAAAUGCGUAGAUAUUAGGAGGAACACCAGUGGCGAAGGCGACUUUCUGGACUAUACCUGACACUGAGGCGCGAAAGCGUGGGGAGCGAACGGGAUUAGAUACCCCGGUAGUCCACGCCGUAAACGAUGGAUACUAGGUGUAGGGGGUAUCGACCCCUUCUGUGCCGCAGCUAACGCAAUAAGUAUCCCGCCUGGGGACUACGGUCGCAAGACUAAAACUCAAAGGAAUUGACGGGG